rfam:Aspergillus glaucus CBS 516.65 unplaced genomic scaffold ASPGLscaffold_5, whole genome shotgun sequence.
CGUUCGCUUGUUGGGGACAAAUGAAAUGGAUGUGCGUGUCGAUACCCCCCGCCGUCACGAUCUUGUUCUCUCCAGCAAUCACAUCCGUCGAAGCACCCACGACCAUCUCCGGAUGAACGCCAUCCAUGAUGUCCGGGUUACCAGCCUUGCCAAGCCCAACAAUAAACCCAUUCUUGAUCCCAAUAUCAGCCUUGUAGAUCCCCGACCAGUCCACGAUCAAUGCGUUCGUAACCACCGUAUCCAAGCACUCCGUUUCUGACCGCGCAGAAGCCUGCCCCAUACCCUCUCGCAG